UACAGAGGUCUCAAGCGUUGUUCGGAUUCAUUGGGCGUAAAGGGGUGCGUAGGCGGCGCGGUAAGUCGGGUGUGAAAUCUCGGAGCUUAACUCCGAAACUGCAUUCGAUACUGCCGUGCUUGAGGACUGGAGAGGAGACUGGAAUUUACGGUGUAGCGGUGAAAUGCGUAGAUAUCGUAAGGAAGACCAGUGGCGAAGGCGGGUCUCUGGACAGUUCCUGACGCUGAGGCACGAAGGUCAGGGGGAGCAAACGGG
rnacentral:rRNA from 1 species